rnacentral:rRNA from 1 species
UGCGUAGGCGGGCUAAUAUGUCAGUGGUGAAAUCUCUCGGCUCAACCGGGAAACUGCCAUUGAUACUGUUAGUCUUGAGUUCGGUUGAGGUAGGCGGAAUGUGUAAUGUAGCGGUGAAAUGCUUAGAUAUUACACAGAACACCAAUUGCGUAGGCAGCUUACUAGACCGACACUGACGCUGAGGCACGAAAGCGUGGGGAGCGAACAGGAUUAGAUACCCUGGUAGUCC